rnacentral:miRNA from 1 species
UGUUUGUAUAGUGUGUGUAUAUAAUGCAGUGUGUUUGUGUAGUGUGCAUUAUAUAAUGCACACUACACAAACACACUGCAUUAUAUACACACACUACACAAAC